rnacentral:rRNA from 1 species
AGCAGCCGCGGUAAUUCCAGCUCCAAUAGCGUAUAUUAAAGUUGUUGCAGUUAAAAGCUCGUAGUUGAAUUUCGGGGUUAGCAGGUCGGUCGUGCCAUCGGUAUGAACUGGUCUCGCUGAUCCCUCCCUCUUGACGAACUGUGAUGCCAUUAAUUUGGUGUCGCAGGGAAUCAGGACUGUUACUUUGAAAAAAUUAGAGUGUUUAAAGCAGGCUCACGCUUGAAUACAUUAGCAUGGAAUAAUGAAAUAGGACGUUUGAUCCUAUUUUGUUGGCUUCUAGGAUUGACGUAAUGAUUAAUAGGGAUAGUUGGGGGCAUUAGUAUUCAAUUGUCAGAGGUGAAAUUCUUGGAUUUAUUGAAGACUAACUACUGCGAAAGCAUUUUGCCCAAGGAUGUUUUGCAUUAAUCAAGAACGAAAGUUAGGGGAUCGAGACGAUCAGAUACCGUCGUAGUCUUAACCAUAAACUAUGCCGACUAGGGAUCGGAUGAUGUUAAUUUUUUCAAUGACUCAUUCGGCGCCU